CGGUGGAGUAACCUUUUAGGAGCUAGCCGUCGAAGGUGGGACAAAUGAUUGGGGUGAAGUCGUAACAAGGUAGCCGUAUCGGAAGGUGCGGCUGGAUCACCUCCUUUCUAAGGA
rnacentral:rRNA from 1 species